rnacentral:lncRNA from 1 species
AGAGGGUUUGAGCUUCAUGAACUUUCAUCCACUUUGAGAUUACUCAUGUCAGUCAGGAAUAUUCUACACUAUCUGAAAUGACACCAGACUGAUAUUUAAUGGUGGAUUCCCCCCAGCCAGUGAAGGCUCCGGGGAAACCUUAUAGCAGCCUUUCAGAGUCUAAAAAGGGAUCUGUAGGAGAGAUGGGGAGGGACUCUUUAUAAGGGAGUGGAGCAACAGGACGAGGGUUAAUGGUUUUAAACUGAAAGAGGGGAAAUUUAGAUUAGCUAUUAGGAAGAAAUACUUUAGUGUGAGGGUGGUGAGACCCUGGCCCAGUUUGCUCAGAGCAGCUGUGGCUGCCCCAUCCCUGGAGGGGUUCAAGGCCAGGUUGGAUGGCCACCUGGUCUGGUGGGAGUUGUCCCUGCCCAGGGCAGGGAGCUUGGAACUGGGUGAUUUUUGAGGUCCCUUCCAACCCAAACAGUUCUACGAUUCUAUGAUUCAAAGCAUGAAGAGUAAUUUGGUUCACCCUACUGUAAUCAUCUUCAUGUGGUCGGAUGGGUUGCUGCCCACCUCUGGGUUGAUAACGCUCCUGUGGCUGUUGUGGAGGGCAUAGACAUCCAGAAUGCUUAUAGACCAGUUGGAGACAUUUGAAGUUGGGUGAAUUGGAUCCUAUCCUGUCAUUUUCAGUCUUCUAACCUGAGGACUGUUUUAACUUGUAGGCAAGACUUGUCUUCAGUCGCUGGGGUGCUUGAGAAAGAGCAGUCCUGAUCACUGUGGCAAGGUGAAAAGCAAGGAGAAGGCUUUCACACAGAGUGUCUCUUUGGGUGAAAUGAAGAAGAAGAGAUGGUGACUGAGCUGUACAAGCAAACCGGGACAAUCCAAAAAGUGACUCAAAGCAGGAGCCAGCAGAUGGUCGCGUCGUUAGCCGGUGGCCACAGCCUCGCCAGAGGAGUUUUGGAAUUCCCAUCAAAGUCGGGAUUAAGCUCAGGAUAUGCCAGUGGCACAGAGGGGAGCGUGGAAGAAGAGGAAAUCAUUCCCUGCGACUCAUCUUGCGGUUGGUGGGCAAGUUUUCAGCUGGUGAUUUAUCAACAAAGUAUUUUACAGGAUCAUAGUUAA